rnacentral:lncRNA from 1 species
CAGGCGGCGGGCGGCGCUAUCGACCCCGACGUGUUCAAGAUCCUGGUGGACCUGCUGAAGCUGAACGUGGCCCCCCUCGCCGUCUUCCAGAUGCUCAAGUCCAUGUGUGCCGGGCAGAGGCUAGCGAGCGAGCCCCAGGACCCUGCGGCCGUGUCUCUGCCCACGUCGAGCGUGCCCGAGACCCGAGGCUUGAGUGACAACUUGAGGACAAGGCGGCGCCUCGACAAGAUUUCACACAGCAGCUACGGGGGCCAGAGAAGCAGCACCGCAUGGUGUGGCAGGAGAAGGAGGACAUGCACAAGCAAUUGGUUGAAGCUUCAGAGACAUUGAAAUCCCAAGCCAAAGAACUGAAAGAUGCCCAUCAGCAGCAAAAGCUGGCCCUGCAGGAGUUCUUGGAGCUCAAUGAGCUCAUGGCAGAGCUCUACUCCCAGAAGCAGAAGGUGUGGGACAAGGAGGAGGAGAUGGAAGUAGCCAUGCAGAAAGCUGACAUGAUGUGGCAGGAGAUCUGAAGAUCCAAGAAGCUCAGAAAGAGGAUGCUGGAAGCUCAGCUCAAGGACACUGUUGCUGAGGCCUCAAAGGAGUGCAGACGUCGUGAGCACGUCACGGACUUCAAGCAACAGACCAGCUGAGCUAGUGAGCAAGAAACACAAGCACUGAAGCUGGAAGCGUCCCCAUCAAUUUCUGUGGCUGCCAGCACAGAACCGCAGGAAGUAACACAGCAUUGUCCUACUGAUGCUCUCAUACGUAGUUACAUGAUGUGAUUGUAGCUUUUUAAACUAUGAAACCCCUGAG